rnacentral:tRNA from 1 species
GUGUCCAUAGCUCAGCUGAAUAGAGCAAUAGGUUGCGGUCCUAUAGGUCGGGGGUUUGAAUCCCUCUGGGCACGCCA